AGGUCUGCAGGAAGGGCCUGCCUCCACUCAUGCAGGUACCUGGGAUCACCUGUCCAUUGGCUACACUGCCCUUUAGGGCCUCCAAAUCCCCAGCUGAAUUAUUCCCAUCCAUCUAGUAGGAAAGGAAAAAAGAAUGUUGAAGGAUCAUGCAAAAUGUUUUAGGGGCCAGUCCUGGACGUAAAAUAUGUUACAUUGGCUAGAAUGCUGUUACACAUUGCCACCUAUUUCAAGAGAUGCUGAGAUUUGGAGUCUUCUUGGGUGCCCAGAGAUUUGAGUAUCACCUAGCACUGUUUCUGCUUCAGAAAAAAUAUCCCUUGACAUUGGCUGUGAUACCUACCAACCUGAAAAAAUAUCCCUUGACAUUGGCUGUGAUACCUACCAAGCUCACAUAUAUGCAAUGCAACUUUAUUCUGUUAAAAACAGGAGGUCUAUCAAUAGUUUCUUACCACAAGGGAAAUGGAAGUAGAACUCUGAAGCUAAAUCAGAGGACUCCAAGCAAAUGAAGUGACUGAAAGCAAGAAUGGCUCAUUGCCCUUGAGCUACACAGAAAUGUAUAGGUGGGUGUAUUGGGUCGGUUCCCUGGAAGCACAACCUCAGAUGGGGAUUCUUGUGCAAAAGAUACACGGAGGAAGAGCUCAAGGAAGUAACUUGCAAUGAAGCAAGGGGAGCAAGCUGGAGCAGGAGAAAAGAUCAGGCAAAGGCAUGCUUUCAGAAGUCUAGCCUCGGCCUCAUCCACAGGGAGCUCCAGAGAGUGAAUGGUACCAUGCAGCUGGUCAACCUUCUUGGAGGAGGGAGCUGCUGAUAGCCUUCAGUAGACAGCACUUGCACUAGCCAAGGGAUGAGUGCACCAGCCCAGUGGAGGGGAUCUGGGUAGAGCACCUAUGCCAUCUGCUAUAAUAGACUCUACGUGUCUUCUAGGAAGGACAUGCUUUUCCUUUUCGUAUCCUCUACCUGAAGCAAUAUAUCACGUACUCAGCAGACGCUCAAUAAGUGUUUGAGAAAUGAAGAAACAAAAAGACAGAGGGAAGGAGAGAAGAAAAGAAACAAGAUUACAGAAAAUUCUAAAAUACUCUUGGGCUCCAAGAAAUGCAUCUUCAAAUAAGGAACUUCACAUACUUAUGCUGAGCAAUGAGAGAGAUAUUUUGAGAAACCUGAAAAAAUAAGAGAACUUUGAGUUUUCAGUGCUCUGGAAAUGGCAAAAAGACCACUCUGGUAACUGAAUUGAAAAUAGGCUAAAGGAGGACAAGAGCAGAAGGGAGGAAAGAAUUGCAAUAAACCAGGCAAGAGAUGGCAGUGAAUAAAGAGGUAUUUCAUGGAGGGGCUUCUCCAAGUUUAAUGUGCACAAGAAUCACUGGGAAGCUUGCUGAAGAGCAGAUUGUAAUUCUGCAAGUCAGGGACGGGGCCUGAGAUUCUGAAUUUCUAACAAAUUUUCAGGUGAUGCUAAUAUUGCUGAUUUGAUGACCACAGUUGAGAAGGAAGACUUCUUGAACUUGCUGAUAGGUUGCAUUUGGAAAGCAUAAAAAGAAAAGAA
ensembl:lncRNA novel transcript